CGCUCAGUGGCUCAGUGGCAAGAGCCUGGGCUUCGGAGUCAGAGGUCAUGGGUUCGACUCCCGGCUCUGCCA
rfam:Ornithorhynchus anatinus chromosome 6, whole genome shotgun sequence.